AGAAUCAAAUGUAAAGCCUUUCAGCUUUUGAGGUUUAGUUUUCAUGAUGUGCUGCCACCAACUGUCAUAAAAUUAACAUGAUAAUCAAGUUUGUAAAUUUAAGUUUAGUUAGAAAAUGAAAAAUAAAUUAUACUAGUAAACUAAAUACGCCUUAACAUAAUAUUGUAACUUUUCUUUCUACUGUAAAUAUGCAAGCACGCAUGUGGGUGAAGUUUUUACUGUAAAAAUACAAAUAACAUUAUCAUAAUUUUUCUAUAGCAUGUCACCUUGUAGGGUUUAACCACUUGCAUGCACAAUCUGAUGCUUUUGUAAUCCAUUGAAAUAAUCUAAAAUUUCUGUGUGUGGCCUAUGCCAUUUUUUUGGGGUUUCAUUAGCUGAACUAUCUUAUACUUUGUAAUUCAUAUAAAACUCUGGAGCCUGUUUAUUUUAUUUGUCAUUUUGAUGGGUUUAUGUAAGCACACCGUGGUUCGAUGGUUAUAAGUAUUUUGAUGAAUCUAAGAGUAGUAACAAAGUGAGGAAAAUAUGGUCUAUGUUGUUUGUUGUGAGCAUUAUCAUAAUUUUCUUUUUUUUCUAAAAUCACAAGUUGACUAUUAGGGUAUUUCCUCUUCUGUUGCAGGCUUCGCACCUAGAUUCUAUUUUCUUUUUGUCCACCUAUGCCAUUGAAACUUAACCUUAUUUUGUAUAAAUAUUACACAGCUAGGAGUUAUGUAAUUAAUUGAUCUUUCUCUAUAAAUUUGGUUUUUGUUCUUUUCAAUAGUUAAUUUCCAUUUUUCUUCCUAGGAUUCUUUUGGUGAGAAAAGUACUCUACUCUUGAAACGAGUGAAGAUGCUAAUAGGUUGAAUUAUGGGGAAAUAAUUUAUAUAGAAGAAAAUGACAUGAAUUGUGUUAAAGUCAUCUCUGUUCUGUUUACCUUUCUUGUGGAGCCAUGCUUCUAGUGCUAUAUGCCGUCCAAUUAUUCAAUGCAAGUACCAAGAGACAAGUUGAUGCAUGGUUUCCCUUUUAUGCAGGCACGGGAAUGGCUGAAUUAUUGAAGUGAUGUGCUCCCUGAGAAUGAAGAUAGUACCCAAUGCAUGAGAUUCCCUUUCUGUGCAGGCAUUGACACAACAAAAUAGUGGAAGAGAUGUCGCUAGCAUCACACAACAAAGGACUAUCAAUUCAGGCUAUGGUCAGGCUGGCAGAUCUUCUCGUUACGAAUUUUUUUUGUCCUUGUGUUGUAUGUGUUAAGAUUCUGUAGCAUGGUUUAACUGUCACUUGUCUUCCUGUACUAUAUAUAGCUGUGAGCACUUAAUUGCCACUUUUUUCAGGUUUGUUCA